rnacentral:rRNA from 1 species
GACGAACGCUGGCGGCGUGCCUAAUACAUGCAAGUUGAGCGCUGAAGGUUGGUACUUGUACCGACUGGAUGAGCAGCGAACGGGUGAGUAACGCGUGGGGAAUCUGCCUUUGAGCGGGGGACAACAUUUGGAAACGAAUGCUAAUACCGCAUAAAAACUUUAAACACAAGUUUUAAGUUUGAAAGAUGCAAUUGCAUCACUCAAAGAUGAUCCCGCGUUGUAUUAGCUAGUUGGUGAGGUAAAGGCUCACCAAGGCGAUGAUACAUAGCCGACCUGAGAGGGUGUGAGGGCACAUUAGGAACGAACCACGGCCCAAACCCCACGGGGAGGAACAAGGGGGGAAUCUUGGGCAAUGGACAAAAAUCUAACCGAGAAACGCCGCGUGAGUGAAAAAGGUUUUGGGAUCGUAAAACUCGGUUGGUAGGGAAAAACGGUGGUGAGAGGGGAAAGCGCGUCAAGUGACGUAACCUACCCAAAAAGGGGCGGCUAACUACGU